rnacentral:rRNA from 1 species
GACGAACGCUGGCGGCGUGCUUAACACAUGCAAGUCGAACGGAAAGGCCCUUCUUUUGUGGGGUGCUCGAGUGGCGAACGGGUGAGUAACACGUGAGUAACCUGCCCUUGACUUUGGUAUAACUUCAGGAAACUGGGGCUAAUCCCGGAUAGGAGCUCCUGCUGCAUGGUGGGGGUUGGAAAGUUUCGGCGGUUGGGGAUGGACUCGCGGCUUAUCAGCUUGUUGGUGGGGUAGUGGCUUACCAAGGCUUUGACGGGUAGCCGGCCUGAGAGGGUGACCGGCCACAUUGGGACUGAGAUACGGCCAAGACUCCUACGGGAGGAAGAAGUGGGGAAUAUUGCACAAUGGGCGGAAGCCUGAUGCAGCAACGCGGCGUGCGGGAUGACGGCCUUCGGGUUGUAAACCGCUUUCGCCUGUGACGAAGCGUGAGUGACGGUAAUGGGUAAAGAAGCACCGGCUAACUACGUG